rnacentral:rRNA from 1 species
AUCAACGCUGGCGGCGUGCCUCAGACAUGCAAGUCGAACGCGAAAGUUUCCCUUCGGGGAACAAGUAGAGUGGCGCACGGGUGAGUAACACGUGGGUAAUCUACCUUUGGAUUGGGAAUAAACACCGAGAAAUCGGUGGCUAAUACCGAAUAAUGCCAGGGCGGCACCUAAUGGUGACAGUUGUUAAAGCGGGGGAUCGCCAGACCUUCGCGUCUAAAGAGGAGGCCUGCGGCGGAAUUAGGCUAGUUGGUAGGUAACGGCUUACCAAGGGCGAUGAUCCGUAGCCGGCCUGAGAGGGCGGUCGGCCACACUGACACUGACAUACGGGUCCGACUCCUACGGGAGGCGCAGUCGGGAAUCUUGCGGCAAUGGGCGAAAGCCUGACCAGCAACGCCGCGUGGAAGGAUGAAAUCCCUUGGGAUUGUAAACUCCUGUCAAGAACGGGAAGAACUCAGUUCGCGGCUAAUACCCCGCGGACGUUGACGGUACCAGCUAGUAAGCCUCCGGCUAACUCUGUGCCAGCAGCCGCGGUAAUACAGAGGGGGAGCCAGCGUUAUUCGGAUUAUUGGGCGUAAAGGGCGCGUAGGCGGCCAUACGUGUCCUUCCGUGAAAUCUCCGCGGCUCAACCGAAGGACGCGAGAAACUGCAAGGGCUCGAGUGCCAGAAGGGGGCAACUGGAAUUCCCAGUGUAGCGGUGAAAUGCGUAGAUAUUGGGAGGAACACCUGCGUGCGAAGGCGGCCCGCUGGGCUGGUACUGACGCUGAUGCUGCGAAAGCGUGGGUAGCAAACGGGAUUAGAUACCCGGUAGUCCACGCCGUAAACGAUGGGCACUUGGUGUCGCGGGUAUCGACCCCUGCGGUGCCGAAGCUAACGCAUUAAGUGCCCCGCCUGGGGAGUACGGUCGCAAGGCUGAAACUCAAAGGAAUCGACGGGGGCCCGCACAAGCGGUGGAGGCAUGUGGUUUAAUUCGAAGCAACGCGAAGAACCUUACCUGGGUCUGAAGGUGAGCAGAUCGGGGGCGAAAUCUCCCUUUCCCGCAAGGGACUGCUUGCUAGGUGCUGCAUGGCUGUCGUCAGCUCGUGUCGUGAGAUGUUGGGUUAAGUCCCGCAACGAGGCGCAACCCCUGCUGCUAGUUGCCAACGGUUCGGCCGGGCACUCUAGUGGGACUGCCGGUGAUAAACCGGAGGAAGGUGGGGAUGACGUCAAGUCCUCAUGGCCUUUAUGUCCAGGGCUACACACGUGCUACAAUGGCCGAUACAGACCGUCGCGAGAGCGCAAGCUGGAGCAAAUCGGAUAAAGUCGGUCUCAGUUCGGAUUGGGGUCUGCAACUCGACCCCAUGAAGCUGGAAUCGCUAGUAAUCGCGGAUCAGCACGCCGCGGUGAAUACGUUCCCGGGCCUUGUACACACCGCCCGUCACAUCACGAAAGUCGGCUGUACCAGAAGUCGGUGUUCUGACUCGCAAGAGAGGAAGCCGCCUAAGGUAUGGUCGGUAAUUGGGGUG